AAACAAUUAGUUUAAAAAAAACAUUGAUUUGUCAAGUCAAAAAUAUUUUUAAUAUUGUUUU
rnacentral:tRNA from 1 species